ACCCGGUUGGCUCAAGCGGUAGAGCGGCUCCCUUACAAGGAGAUGGUUCGAGGUUCAAAUCCUCGACCGGGUA
rnacentral:tRNA from 1 species